GGCACUAUAUUUAAACCUGUGUAUGGGAAUUCUCCCCAUUCUAGGUUACGCUGUAGUGCAAAAGAAUUCCUGGCUCUUUUCUGUUGCACAGCUGACAUUGUGCCAUUCUGCUGUUGCUGGAUGGAGUUAAGGAACAUAA
ensembl:snoRNA small nucleolar RNA SNORA46